CCAGCGCGGUGGCUCCGAGGCGCGGCGCGGCACUGCGCGCACAUGGACGCGGCUCUGCUCCGCACCCGCGGCCGGGCUCAGGGCGAGCCGCGCUGCAUUUCUGUUUGCACUCCUCCUCUUCCUCUAUCCCCCCCCUCCCCACUCCGCUCUCAGAGAGGGCGGGAGGGGAAGGAAAAAGCAGAAAAGAAGCCACGAGAAAAAGCACCAGGUCAGCAAACAAACAGAAAAAGAAGAAAGCAGUGACUCUGGGAACUGGGAGGCAUGAGAGAGAUACAUCUGAACAGGACCUUUCUCCACAGAACUGCAGCUAGUAGAGCGCAAGCCCAAGCCCAUGGGCACAUACAUGGAACAAUAGGGAGCAGAAGCAGAAAAGCUCUGUCAAGUUUGUACCCAAUGCAGCAAACACAAGUAUAAAAAGGGCACAAAGUCUGGUUACCACACUUCAAAAUUGUAAGGGAUCAGAACAUAGCUCCAGAAGGGCCUGAGGUCUACAAAGAAUAUGAAUCUAGUGAGACACUUGAGCAGUCUUUUUUGCUGCAGUAAUAAACACAUCUACAGGGGUUUCA